CAGUAGCCGCGGGAAAACGAGGGGGGCAAGCGUUGUUCGGAAUUAUUGGGCGUAAAGCGUGCGUAGGCGGCUUCUUAAGUCGGAUGUGAAAUCCCUGAGCUUAACUUAGGAAUUGCAUUCGAUACUGGGAAGCUAGAGUAUGGGAGAGGAUGGUAGAAUUCCAGGUGUAGCGGUGAAAUGCGUAGAGAUCUGGAGGAAUACCGAUGGCGAAGGCAGCCAUCUGGCCUAAUACUGACGCUGAGGUACGAAAGCAUGGGGAGCAAACAGGAUUAGAUACCCGGGUAGUCCCUGUCUCUUAUAC
rnacentral:rRNA from 1 species